UAAAUGCUGUCUUGAAAAAAAUCUUAAUGAAAUAAAAAUAUCUGUGAAGAUACAGAUUUCUUAUAUUGGGA
rnacentral:tRNA from 1 species